CUGCAACACAACAUCUAUGGUGGCUGUUUGUGGCUGUUGUAAUUUUGUGUUUAACUGAACUCAGCACCAGUUUUGCUGUGCUCACUGUCCUCUCUGCCAUGUGCCUUUCCAUCAUGGACUAGGAGUGAGGAGAUCCUUAAUUUCAUAUGGUAACACCUGGCAAAGCAAGCAGGGUGAGGACCUUUGCUCUUUGUUAUCUGCCCUUCUUUUUUUUGUGAAUAAACUGCGGACAUUGGUCUUCAGGAGUAGGAGAGAGGAAGAGGAGUUAAGUAUCACAAUUGGAGCUAGCAAAAAAGUAAAGUUUCUGACUUGCUAUUAUUUUGAAAUUUGGCUUCAGUCAUAUUGGAUCAAAAUCAAAUUUCUAAAUAUAUUUCUGAUGAUCUGCAAGUUCUCCAGAUUCUGCUGUGGGGCGAUGAAAUUGAUGUUCUUGUCAGUGUUGGUUUCCUUGAGCAGCUGCAGGCAGCUCCCCGAGUCCUGAGUGCUGGAACAAAGCUGCCAUGAAUUGGCAGGUCUGAUGGGCUGCAAGAGGCAGUUUCCAGGGUCCAGACUCUGGCCACGCUUGGCAGGUGCACAUGCCCCAGAGCCAAAUCCACCCCUUCCCCUUCCUUUCUUCCCAUCAUGGUUAACAUUUGGAAUGAAACAGUUGGAGUUUUCAAUUAAAUCAUGUUCCAAAGAAAAGAAAAGAAUGAAGGAAAGUGCUGCUGAUUUUUGUACAUGCAAAGAAAAAAAAGAAAAAAGAAAAAAAAAGAAAAAAAGAAAAGAAACAAGUUGUUUAGCGAGUUUCUUUUCUCUCUGUCAGGUAACAUAGUCAUUUAUAUUAAUCACCAGGAAAACUGCAAAUCCAAGUCCUGGAACAAAGGGUUCCCACCCGAGUAACUUCCCUCUGAGAGAGGCAAUGGUGCUUCAGUAACUUUUCCUUUCAUGCUUCCCUCAUCUUUCUUCUUUUCUAUUUCAGUUGCUUGGAAUAUGGUUCUUCUGGUUUAUGUUGUUUACAGAAGUAAGGCUUUAAAAGCUGAUGUUGACUAUUAGUAUUUUACAAAAGCAAACCACAAGAACCAUACCAACAAAAAAAACUACUGAAGUGAACACAAAUGUUUUAAUGAAUUAAAAGAAACCUUGAAAGAGCAAAAUCUAUCUCAGAGGUGAAACUGAUGAGGCCAUGUUUGUUGUCCAAGCUGGAAGGAAUGUCAGGUAAGAAAAAGUAGCAUAAAUUAAUAGUAUGUAUUUCAAGCAUUUUCUACAAGAACCAGACUUGAUCCACUGGGACUUAAGUGCACAUUUUCUUGAAGGGAUGAAUAACCUUUUAACACUGUCACUUAGUACACAUUUCCUUUCUCAGAAUUAUUUGGUAUUGGCCACCAUCAGGUAAAAAACAGUGAAUUAAAUGGACUGAUAAUCUCCAGUUCCUAAAUUCUUCAGGGAGGUACAUUCAAUAUUGAAUUUGUUGUGACUGAGUCCUUCAGUUCUUGUACCCUAGCAAAGAAAGUUAGAACUACUAUCUGCUCUUCCUCUGAUCUUGAGGAAAGCUUUGGGAACAAAAUGAUGCUCAUUUCCAACUACCUGUCUCCUCCUCCUGGAAUAAUUGCCAGAUGGAUCAAAAAUUUUGCCUUUCAAGCAGUACCACCCAGUAAAACAAGUAUGUUGCACAAGACCAUAAUGUCGUGGCCUGGUUACUUUUCUCCCAGUUGCUCUACUGCUUUCUUCAUUUGCAAUAGUUUCAGUUCCUCUGUUGUUUCCAUUGGUG
ensembl:lncRNA